UGGGGAAUAUUGGGCAAUGGGCGCAAGCCUGACCCAGCAACGCCGCGUGAAGGAAGAAGGCUUUCGGGUUGUAAACUUCUUUUAUUAAGGACGAAACAAAUGACGGUACUUAAUGAAUAAGCUCCGGCUAACUACGUGCCAGCAGCCGCGGUAAUACGUAGGGAGCAAGCGUUAUCCGGAUUUACUGGGUGUAAAGGGCGUGUAGGCGGGAAAGCAAGUCAGAUGUGAAACCCAGUGGCUCAACCACUGGCCUGCAUUUGAAACUGUUUUUCUUGAGUGAUGGAGAGGCAGGCGGAAUUCCGUGUGUAGCGGUGAAAUGCGUAGAUAUACGGAGGAACACCAGUGGCGAAGGCGGCCUGCUGGACAUUAACUGACGCUGAGGCGCGAAAGCGUGGGGAGC
rnacentral:rRNA from 1 species